rnacentral:rRNA from 1 species
UAGUCCACGCCGUAAACGAUGGACACUUGGUGUUGGAAGAUAUAUUCUUCUAGUGCCGGAGCUAACGUGUUAAGUGUCCCGCCUGGGAAGUACGAUCGCAAGAUUGAAACUCAAAGAAAUUGACGGGGGCCCGCACAAGUGGUGGAGCAUGUGGCUCAAUUCGAUGAUACGCGAGGAACCUUACCAGGGUUUGACAUGUAUUUGACAGUUUCUGAAAAGGAAUCUCCCUUCGGGGCGGAUACACAGGUGCUGCAUGGUUGUCGUCAGCUCGUGCCGUGAGGUGUUGGGUCAAGUCCCGCAACGAGCGCAACCCUCAUUCCCUGUUGCUACCGGGUCAUGCCGGGCACUCUGGGAAAACUGCCGGUGAUAAACCGGAGGAAGGUGAGGACGACGUCAAAUCCUCAUGGCCUUUAUGCCCUGGGCUGCACACGUGCUACAAUGGUUGAUACAGAGGGUCGCAAUACCGCGAGGUGGAGCCAAUCUCAAAAAUCAGCCCUAGUUCGG